ensembl:miRNA
GGCCCGUUUUGGCACUAGCACAUUUUUGCUUUGAUUUGUAGCUUUUGAGCAAUUAUGUGUAGUGCCAAUAUGGGAGAAGGCGGAGA